CACAUAAUGAUAAAUUAUAAUACACAUGCAUGCAGUAAGAAAGUGUACAGAGGCCGUAUAGGAAGUAGCUUUCGAGCCAUUUAUGAUACGAUUCAAACUAUAUGGUUACUUGUGACUAAGUUUCAUUAUAUGUAUUCAUUGACUAUAUAGUGAGGUAUGAAUUCCGAUUCUGUAACAAUAUAUUCAUAUAGCUGUUUUGAAAUGUAUUAAUGAAGAUGGUUAUGAUGACUCAAAUGAAUAGUUUCCCGGCAUAUUUUUGAGGAAAUAAAUUUGAAAGUAGGAAUUCCAUAAUUAGUUUUUUCUUUUCGUCUCCCAAGAUUAAUUUUAGUAGCAUCAUCUAUAGUGUUACAAGUAUGUUGAUUAGCAGCUCGUAAGACAAAGGAUGAGAAGACUCAUGGAACAUUUGUUUUCAUAUUCAUAAUGACAUAAGCUUAUUGGUAAUGUAGGUUGGACCUACCAUUUUCUAUAAAUACUUGCAUCUAUACGGGUUUUCAAAAAUUCUCACGGUAUGAAUAAUAACGGUUAUAUUUUAUAUGGAGAUUUUUGAGGCAUCUCGCUCCAUGGAACUAACAAUUAAAUAUUUUUGUGGAAAAAUUCACAAAAAUCAUUCAACUUUUAGCAAAUUCUAUAUCGAACGAGGUAUACCCAAAAAUUUCAACAUUUCCCUAUACCCUACACUGACAUCACCCACUAUAGCCGUGUUUACACUAUGAGCCUAAGCCUGGCCUAACUUUGGACUAGAUUUUUGUAGUGUAAACGCACUUCGGCCUGUCCUAGGCCAGGAAAUCUGGGCCACCGGCCUGUUUGAUGGGCCCAGAUUUCCUGGCCUAGGCCAGGCCGAAGUGCGUUUACACUACAAAAAUCUAGUCCAAAGGUAGGCCCAGGCCAGGCUUAGGCUCGUACUGUAAACAUGGCUUAUAUAUAUAACUAGGGAUCCAAGGAUAGUGUGAAGUUUCAAACUGCAAGAACUAUAUAGGGUCGCCGACAACCUAGAAAAGCUUGAUGGCUUA